ACACCUCAACUCUCAUGGCUUGCCAUGAUGAGCUUGGACCUUGGGGGUCUUGCUGGCGUAUACAGGUCAGCUCCCCUCAAAUGAAUCAGCUUGCCGGUGUUUGGUGGCGUCACAGGUGUGAUAAAUAUCUACGCUUGUGGCUUUCCACCACGUAACCUUCAGCAAUGGAGGUUCACUGGAGCUCAUAAAUGUCUCUCCUUGGUGAGGACAGAUUUUGACC
rnacentral:misc_RNA from 1 species